rnacentral:tRNA from 1 species
CAAACUGGAGCUUGAAUAAGCAUUUUAUUUACACUAAAAGGAUAGUUUUUAACUUAGUUUGA